AAAAAACUGGUAUAAAAUGGCAUAAACAUAAUGGCAAAUUUAAAACAUCGCCGUUAUAUUGAUAAACUGAGGCGGUUUGUGUGACUGCCGUAAUUUGCUUGUGGAACGGCGAUUCUUUAGCGAAUUUGGCGGUUUUAAACGGCAGUAUCUUAUUAUCUACUUCACUAAUAUAAAAAGUUAAAACCUAACUCUUAUAUUUUACUAAUAAAUACUGUGCUAAUCAAUCUAUGGAAACUCCAUCACAAUGUGAGAACCAAGAAGAAACUCCAUUGCAGCGGCGUGAGAUCUGCGAUCUCAUCCAUGACGCUCUCUUCUGGCGACUGGCGGCAAUCUCCUCAAUCAACGCUUUUCUUCCAGCUGCGAUCUCCUCCAUCAAAGUUUCCUGCUCCACUGUGUUGUGCUCUGUGAAGCUUCUCCUUCUCCAUCUUGGUUGAACUAGUUUUAUAUACAAAUGCACAUUCUCCUCUUUUAAUUACUCAUAUUUGUAUUUGCUAAUUGUUACUACUUCUAUUUCUUUAAUGCUAUGUUUUGAUUUUCUCUUUGUUAGCAGAAAUUGGGGGUAAGAUCUUCAUGAAAUUUCUUCGAUUUUUUUGCUUACAUGCAUGUAUACAAAUAUGCAUUCGCUUCGCGGUUUUGAUUUGUAGAUAUGCUCGUUGAUGCUGAUUUACAUAGCACAUGUUUGAUGAAUUGCUUCAAUGAAUUAAGAGCAGUUAUUUUCAGGUCCCAAGGAGGACAGUCGGGUUUCAGAAGCAACUCGAAGAGCUGUGCAAGAAGAAGCGGAAAGGCUAAUUUUGCAGAAAAUUCCACUCCAGAAAAUUUUGUUUGAGAUUAUGUUUAAGUAUGGCUUGAAGGGUGUGAACAAUGAUGUGGAGAGAUGCUUGUCACUGUGUGUGGAGGAAAGAAUGCGUGGACUGAUAAGUAACCUGAUUAGAAUGUCAAAACAGCGGGUUGAUUUUGAGAAGACAAGACAUCAGACUGUUGUCACCUCAAAUGUUUAGCCGCAAAUCAUGACAAUAAAUAGGAAAGUAAGAGAGGAGUGGGAGAAAAGACGGAUAGAAGCAGAGAAGCUUCUGAAACAAAUGACGCUAUGACAAUGGCAUUAUCCCGGCAUCAUCAUUCGGUACUUAUCAUACUCCACUCAACAAGCAUAUUUACUAUGUUAAUUCCAUGAGGGCUGCUCAAGAGUUUGCUUCAAGAGUUUCUGAUUCUUUUUAAGGGGCAACCGUGGUCGAGAUUGCUUCAGGAAUCUGCUGUCAAAGAAUAUGGCAAGUCUGGAGACCCCUUUCUUCAUUCAAUCCCAUUUCAGCACACAACCUGCUCGAUGAAAUGCUUCAACUAAAUUCUGCCCUUAUCAAUGCUUUUAUGACAGAACUGGAACCUGAUUCUCCGGUUAUCCAGGUACAUUAUGUUUGAACUUUGCAGGUUCGAGCUGGUUCUGGUAGUAUUUCUUCUGGGGCUGCUGACAAAAUUCAGCUGGCUCGUUCUGAGAUCUGGAAUGCUAGAGAAUGCCUUAACCUAUA